rnacentral:rRNA from 1 species
ACGUGGUAUCCUGUCUGAAUAUGGGGGGACCAUCCUCCAAGGCUAAAUACUCCUGACUGACCGAUAGUGAACCAGUACCGUGAGGGAAAGGCGAAAAGAACCCCGGCGAGGGGAGUGAAAAAGAACCUGAAACCGUGUACGUACAAGCAGUGGGAGCACGCUUAGGCGUGUGACUGCGUACCUUUUGUAUAAUGGGUCAGCGACUUAUAUUCUGUAGCAAGGUUAACCGAAUAGGGGAGCCGAAGGGAAACCGAGUCUUAACUGGGCGUUAAGUUGCAGGGUAUAGACCCGAAACCCGGUGAUCUAGCCAUGGGCAGGUUGAAGGUUGGGUAACACUAACUGGAGGACCGAACCGACUAAUGUUGAAAAAUUAGCGGAUGACUUGUGGCUGGGGGUGAAAGGCCAAUCAAACCGGGAGAUAGCUGGUUCUCCCCGAAAGCUAUUUAGGUAGCGCCUCGUGAAUUCAUCUCCGGGGGUAGAGCACUGUUUCGGCAAGGGGGUCAUCCCGACUUACCAACCCGAUGCAAACUGCGAAUACCGGAGAAUGUUAUCACGGGAGACACACGGCGGGUGCUAACGUCCGUCGUGAAGAGGGAAACAACCCAGACCGCCAGCUAAGGUCCCAAAGUCAUGGUUAAGUGGGAAACGAUGUGGGAAGGCCCAGACAGCCAGGAUGUUGGCUUAGAAGCAGCCAUCAUUUAAAGAAAGCGUAAUAGCUCACUGGUCGAGUCGGCCUGCGCGGAAGAUGUAACGGGGCUAAACCAUGCACCGAAGCUGCGGCAGCGACACUAUGUGUUGUUGGGUAGGGGAGCGUUCUGUAAGCCUGUGAAGGUGUGCUGUGAGGCAUGCUGGAGGUAUCAGAAGUGCGAAUGCUGACAUAAGUAACGAUAAAGCGGGUGAAAAGCCCGCUCGCCGGAAGACCAAGGGUUCCUGUCCAACGUUAAUCGGGGCAGGGUGAGUCGACCCCUAAGGCGAGGCCGAAAGGCGUAGUCGAUGGGAAACAGGUUAAUAUUCCUGUACUUGGUGUUACUGCGAAGGGGGGACGGAGAAGGCUAUGUUGGCCGGGCGACGGUUGUCCCGGUUUAAGCGUGUAGGCUGGUUUUCCAGGCAAAUCCGGAAAAUCAAGGCUGAGGCGUGAUGACGAGGCACUACGGUGCUGAAGCAACAAAUGCCCUGCU